AUGCAACCGCUGGCGGGGCUAGGUGACACACUCCGGGACGCCCACGAGCUCGUCGUGUCCUGCCAGGGAAGGAGCGCGGCGUACCAGUUUGUCAUGGCCGGCAGGAGGGCCGAAAGAUUCAGGGAGGUCCAGAGCAAGAUCGACUCCUACCUCAUCGUGUUUCCCGUGAUCAGCCACAGCGGCAUCACGCGCCGACUCGAACGGAUCUACAAUGUCCUUGUCCCAAAUGACUCCACCAGUAUUGAACCGUCUCCACUUCCACAUCGGCAGGGGUCUACAGAGGUGGCACAAGAGGUACUGCUGCAUGAAACCCAGGAAUUCACGUUGGUGGAGAUCAUGGCUGCCACCAAUAACUUCGCCCUUGAUAAUAAGAUUGGUUGCGGCGGCUUUGGAACAGUGUACAAGGGCAGUCUUCAGGAUGGGCGAGAGGUGGCCAUCAAGCACACCAUCAGUAACUAUCGGGGAGCCGUAGAAGAUUUCAACACAGAGGUCGCCAUCCUAUCACGGCUCAGACACAAACACAUCAUCCGCCUCCUUGGAUCGUGUGUGACUCUGAGUAUGGACAAGCACCUGCUAACCGCAACGCAAAAGAAAAAAAAAAAGGCCUGCUAA
rnacentral:rRNA from 1 species